rnacentral:tRNA from 1 species
GGAGAGGUGUCGGAGUCUGGUUUAACGAGCACGACUGGAAAUCGUGUGGGGUCUAACGGCCCUCGUGGGUUCGAAUCCCACCCUCUCCGCCA